rnacentral:rRNA from 1 species
AAACUCCGGUGGUACAGGAUGGGCCCGGUUCUGAUUAGCUGGUUGGCAGGGUAACGGCCUACCAAGGCAACGAUCAGUAGCCGGUCUGAGAGGAUGAACGGCCACAUUGGAACUGAGACACGGUCCAAACUCCUACGGGAGGCAGCAGUGGGGAAUAUUGCAUAAUGGGGAAAACCCUGAUGCAGCAACGCCGCGUGAGUGAAGAAGUAUUUCGGUAUGUAAAGCUCUAUCAGCAGGGAAGAUAAUGACGGUACCUGACUAAGAAGCUCCGGCUAAAUACGUGCCAGCAGCCGCGGUAAUACGUAUGGAGCAAGCGUUAUCCGGAUUUACUGGGUGUAAAGGGUGCGUAGGUGGCAGUGCAAGUCAGAUGUGAAAGGCCGGGGCUCAACCCCGGAGCUGCAUUUGAAACUGCUCGGCUAGAGUACAGGAGAGGCAGGCGGAAUUCCUAGUGUAGCGGUGAAAUGCGUAGAUAUUAGGAGGAACACCAGUGGCGCAGGCGGCCUGCUGGACUGUUACUGACACUGAGGCACGAAAGCGUGGGGAGCAAACAGGAUUAGAUACCCUGGUAGUCCACGCCGUAAACGAUCAAUAAUUGGGGUUGGGGCCGUUAUAGGCUCCGGCGCCGCCGCUAACGCAGUAAGUAUUUCCACCUGGGGGAGUACGUUCGCAAGAAUGAAACUUCAAAAGGAAUUGACGGGGACCCGCACAAGCGGUGGAGCAUGUGGUUUAAUUCGAAGCAACGCGAAGAACCUUACCAGGUCUUGACAUCCUUCUGACCACUCCGUAAUGGGAGUCUUCCUUCGGGACAGAAGAGACAGGUGGUGCAUGGUUGUCGUCAGCUCGUGUCGUGAGAUGUUGGGUUAAGUCCCGCAACGAGCGCAACCCCUAUCUUCAGUAGCCAGCAGGUAAGGCUGGGCACUCUGGAGAGACUGCCAGGGAUAACCUGGAGGAAGGUGGGGACGACGUCAAAUCAUCAUGCCCCUUAUGAUCUGGGCGACACACGUGCUACAAUGGCGGUCACAGAGUGAGGCGAACCCGCGAGGGGGAGCAAACCACAAAAAGGCCGUCCCAGUUCGGACUGUAGUCUGCAACCCGACUACACGAAGCUGGAAUCGCUAGUAAUCGCGAAUCAGAAUGUCGCGGUGAAUACGUUCCCGGGUCUUGUGCACA